rnacentral:tRNA from 1 species
GCAGUGAUGGUUCAGUGGUAGAAUUCUCGCCUUCUAUGUGGGAGACCCAGGUUCGAUUCCCAGGCAAUGUA